rnacentral:tRNA from 1 species
AGAGAUGUAGUUCAGUUGGUAGAAUGCUUACCUCCCAUGCACAGAAUCCUGGGUUCAAUUCCCAGCACCACAU